rnacentral:rRNA from 1 species
UAGAUACCCUGGUAGUCCACGCCGUAAACGAUGGGUGCUAGACGUUGGCGAGCUUGCUCGUCAGUGUCGCAGCUAACGCGUUAAGCACCCCGCCUGGGGAGUACGGCCGCAAGGUUGAAACUCAAAGGAAUUGACGGGGGCCCGCACAAGCGGUGGAGCAUGUGGUUCAAUUCGACGCAACGCGAAGAACCUUACCAGCCUUGACAUGUGACUCGCCGGGAGCAGAGACGCUCCCUUCGGUUCGGCCGGA